rnacentral:sRNA from 1 species
CCUGAAACGCAAACCAUAUUGCGGGUUUUUCAGGC